rnacentral:rRNA from 1 species
UCAAGUUAUUAAGGGUGCAGGGCGGAUGCCUUGGCACUAGGAGCCGAUGAAGGACGUGAUAAGCUGCGAUAAGCUUCGGGGAGUUGCACGUAAACUUUGAUCCGAAGAUUUCCGAAUGAGGAAACUCACUUAGAGUAAUGUCUAAGUAUCAUUAAGUGAAUACAUAGCUUAAUGAGGGGAACUCAGGGAACUGAAACAUCUAAGUACCUGAAGGAAGAGAAAGAAAUUCGAUUCCGUAAGUAGCGGCGAGCGAACGCGGAUUAGCCCAAACCAAUAAAGUUUUCUUUAUUGGGGUUGCGGACAUAUCAUAACGAAGAGGUAUCGUAAUUGAAGAGGUUUGGAAAGACCCACCACAGAAGGUAAUAGUCCUGUAUGUUAAACGAGAAGACUUCAGAUAUGAUCCAGAGUACCACGGGACACGUGAAACCCUGUGGGAAGCAGGAGGGACCACCCUCCAAGGCUAAAUACUACCUAGUGACCGAUAGCGUAUAGUACCGUGAGGGAAAGGUGAAAAGAACCCCGGGAGGGGAGUGAAAUAGAACCUGAAACCCUGCACUUACAAGCUGUGGAAGCACAUUUCUUGUGUGACCGCGUACUUUUUGUAGAACGGGCCAACGAGUUACGUUAAGUAGCAAGGUUAAGCACUUAAGGUGUGGAGCCGUAGCGAAAGCGAGUUUUAACUGAGCGUUCAGUUACUUGACGUAGACCCGAAACCGGGCGACCUACCCAUGAGCAGGAUGAAGCGAAAGUAAAAUUUCGUGGAGGUCCGAACCCACGAGCGUUGAAAAGCUCGGGGAUGACUUGUGGGUAGCGGUGAAAUUCCAAUCGAGCCCGGAGAUAGCUGGUUCUCCCCGAAAUAGCUUUAGGGCUAGCCUCAAGGUGAGAGAUACGGAGGUAGAGCACUGAAUGUCCUAGGGGGUAUUGCACCUACCGAAGACUAUCAAACUCCGAAUGCCGUCAUCUUAUACUUGGGAGUCAGACUGUGGGUGAUAAGAUUCAUAGUCGAAAGGGCAACAGCCCAGAUCGUCAGCUAAGGUCCCUAAAUGUAAGUUAAGUGGUAAAGGAUGUGGGAUUGCACAGACAACCAGGAUGUUGGCUUAGAAGCAGCCACUCAUUCAAAGAGUGCGUAAUAGCUCACUGGUCGAGUGAUCCUGCGCCGAAGAUUUCCGGGGCUAAAACUUACUACCGAAGCUACGGCAUCAGUAAUGAUGGGUAGGGGAGCUUCCCAUACGGGUUGAAGCAUGACCGUAAGGACAUGUGGACAGUAUGGGAGUGAGAAUGUUGGCAUGAGUAGCGAGAUGUGGGUGAGAAUCCCACAGGCCGUAAACCCAAGGUUUCCAGGGGAAGGUUCGUCCGCCCUGGGUUAGUCGGGACCUAAGCUGAGGCCGAAAGGCGUAGGUGAUGGACAACAGGUUGAUAUUCCUGUACUACCGAUAACCGUUUGAGAGAAGGGAUGACACAGUAGGAUAAGCUAAGCACACUGUUGGUUAUGUGUGCCCAAGCAUUGAGGCAGUCAAAGUAGGCAAAUCCGCUUUGAUAAUGCUGGGAUGUGAUGGGGAGCGAAAUUUAGUAGCGAAGUAGCUGAUUUCACACUGUCAAGAAAAGUCUCUAUCGAGGUUAAAGGUACCCGUACCGCAAACCGACACAGGUGGGUGAGGAGAGUAUCCUAAGGCCAGCGAGAGAACUGUUGUUAAGGAACUCGGCAAAAUGACCCCGUAACUUAGGGAUAAGGGGUGCCACCAUCAGGUGGCCGCAGAGAAUAGGCCCAAGCGACUGUUUACCAAAAACAUAGGUUUCUGCUAAGUCGCAAGACGAUGUAUAGGAGCUGACGCCUGCCCGGUGCUGGAAGGUUAAGGGGAUCUGUUAGAGCAAUCGAAGCAGUGAACUUAAGCCCCAGUAAACGGCGGCCGUAACUAUAACGGUCCUAAGGUAGCGAAAUUCCUUGUCGGGUAAGUUCCGACCCGCACGAAAGGCGUAACGAUUUGGGCACUGUCUCAACAACAGACUCGGUGAAAUUGUAAUUCCGGUGAAGAUGCCGGAUACCUGCGACAGGACGGAAAGACCCCAUGGAGCUUUACUGUAGCUUGACAUUGGGUCUUGGUACUACAUGUACAGGAUAGGUGGGAGGCUUUGAAACCAGGACGCCAGUUUUGGCGGAGCCAUCCUUGGGAUACCACCCUUGUAGUACUGGGACUCUAACCAUAGGCCAUGAAUCUGGUCUUGGGACACUGUCAGGUGGGCAGUUUGACUGGGGCGGUCGCCUCCCAAAAGGUAACGGAGGCGCUCAAAGGUUCUCUCAGUACGGUCGGAAAUCGUACGUAGAGUGUAAAGGCAAAAGAGAGCUUGAUUGCAAGACAUACAGGUCGAGCAAGGAUGAAAAUCGGACUUAGUGAUCCGGUGGUUCUGCGUGGAAGGGCCAUCGCUCAACGGAUAAAAGCUACCCUGGGGAUAACAGGCUUAUCUCCCCCAAGAGUCCACAUCGACGGGGAGGUUUGGCACCUCGAUGUCGGCUCAUCACAUCCUGGGGCUGUAGUAGGUCCCAAGGGUUGGGCUGUUCGCCCAUUAAAGUGGUACGCGAGCUGGGUUCAGAACGUCGUGAGACAGUUCGGUCCCUAUCCGUCGCAGGCGUAGGAAAUUUGAGAAGACCUGUCCUUAGUACGAGAGGACCGGGAUGGACGUACCUCUGGUGUACCAGUUGUUCUGCCAAGGGCAUGGCUGGGUAGCUAUGUACGGAAUGGAUAAGCGCUGAAAGCAUCUAAGCGCGAAGCCAACUUCAAGAUAAGAUUUCCCACCGCAAGGGUAAGA